GGCCCCCGGCCAGCAGCAAGUAGAGGUGAUAACAGUACCAGAUGAAAGUGGAGGGGAAGCUGCAGGACCACUCCAUGUUCCGUGUCCAGAUUCACCUCUUCAGAAAACAGAAACAGCACCACUCCACUACACCGAUACGAGAUUUCUGCCAACAGCUUUGAACCCUGGGCCAACUUGGUUCUGACAGCACCACUGACCUGCCACCGAGGAUGUUGUGAGGGGUCAGGAAUAUCUGCAGACCAUUUAAGGAAUGGGUGAAAGACUCCGGAGUUUUUAAAUAUGCUCUUCAAGGAACCAAGAGCAGGGGAUAUUCCAAGGAAGGUGCACAUAUCAGAAGAAUCUUUGUGUUAUCUGAGAACUAUACCAUGUAAUUUUGUCAGACAACAUUGUAUUUAAAUUUUAAAACUCUGUCUGCUAUAACGGGAUGUCACCAAAGCUGUGAUGUUUUAGAUUGGUAUAUGUUUGUCUUCAUCGUCUUCUUACUGAUUUUUAAGUGUUUUACAUAUUUUAGUUGGUAGUGAUUUCACAACAAUCUCAGGCUCUUAGAAUUGUUCCCUUUUGCUAAUGGGAAAUGUGCUGGAGUUCUUAAGUUGCAUUCCAAAUACUUGGGAAAAAAAUAUAUAGUGAGCUCAACUGUGUGAUUCAGUCAGUUUAGGAACAAUUUAUACCAAAUUUCUUCUUCAGUACAUAGUACCAUUCUUUACAAAAUGACUAAAAUUAAGAGUUUUUAAAUAACCUUUAUUUAAGUGAUAAAGUAAUUGUGUAUAAAGCUGGAAGCUGUGGUUGAGAGCCUGGAAAUUCUUGGACAGAAAUUCCUCUUGUAUCUUCCCAAAAUUUUAUGGCUCUUAAAUGUAUCAUUAUAGUGUACAGUGCCUCCCAGCAACUGCUCAUGGUAAAGCAUUCAUUUUAUGUGUCUAGGGCAGGGAAGAAAAACUAACUGGACAAUGUGGAUGUGUGAUAUGGUAGGGAGAAUUAGAUCACUAUGAAAUAGCUUCCAGCAUUACUAUCCUAGGCAUUCCAUUGAAUUCUUUUAGAGAGAUGGAGGAAGUUCAGGAGAAAAUGAUCAGAAUGAUAGGAGAGGAGGACUAAAAAUUCAAUGAGGCAUGGCUAAUGGAAAUAGAAAUAUUUGACCUGGAGAAGAUAGGAGGAUACAAAACUGGUUUUAAAAUAUCUUGACAGCUGACAAGUAGAAGAGAAAUUAGCCUUGCUUGUAUGGUCCCAUGGCCCUAUGUGCAAACUACAUGGAGCCUUUUGCCCCCAAAUAAGGUAGAUAUCACAAAGAUGUCUAAAGAUGCAAUAGGGAUUCUUGUUCAAGAUGGCAGACAGGAGCACCUACAUAUACCUCUUUUCUGCUCCGAAACUGCACAGAAAUAUUAGUAAAGAGGAACAGAGAAUACUAAAGACAGCUCUGGGGGCAGGAGAAAGGGCAUCUGGAAACUAGAGAUACAGACAAAUCUCUUGAAAGUAAAAAAUACUUGGAAUUAUAUUAACAGAUUAAAUCACAUUCACAGGAGAAGGCUGCAGUAGGGGCUGGAGCUAUUUUUCCUGGCAGCAGACCCACAGAGGCUCUGUGGAGUGCAAGAGGGAAGCUGGAAGGAAAUCAACUGUGGAAUAACUGUGAGUCAUAGCCCGCAUUCCCCUUCGCUGCAUCACAGGCUCAGGCUAAAACCAAAGGACUAAUCUUUAAAAUAAUUGAGAAGAGUCUGUAUGAGGAGGAGACCGAAAAGGGGUGAUGCCCACCCGAAAGACAGUUCUUCUCAUCUGAGCUGGCAAAUGGGAGAGGCAGCGGGUGGGGCAUCCUGCUUCUUCCUCUUCCACCUCAAGGUCUGAGCAAAGCCCGCCAGUCAAAAGGCCCACCCAUGUGGACAGAAGAUGAGACCUAGGCAAGGAGGGCUCUCUGUAUUAAACAAGCUGGUCUGCCUCAGUCAUAAAUAUGAAUUGAUAGCCAAAGAUCAUCAAAAUCUGAGGAAAAAUAAGAAUCAAAAUACGGGUUGAAAUAAACUGACCCUGGGGGAAAUAGGAAUUCAGGAAAUAGACAUUAUCUUUAUUCUAUUUAGUGUCUUCAUAGAAAAAAUGUUCAAAAAAAAAAAAAAAGCAUUUGUAAAGCAAAAAUACGUGGGCAACAAAAAGAACAAUCAAUACCAAAAUGAAAAAUGAAAAAAAGAAAAAAUGAAAAAAAGAAAAAACUGCCAAAGUUAAAAAUUCAAUGGAAAAAAAAAAAAUGGAAGGAACUUCUCUGAAUAUAGAGCAAAAAGUUAGAGAUGGAACAUAUAGGAGAAAAAUUAAAAGAUUAGAGGACAGUCCAUAAGAUCAAAUAACCAAAGGAUGUUUAGAAUAGGUAAAGAGACAAAAGAGAGAACAAGAGAAUUUUCUAGAUAUGAAGAAACAGGACUUCAGAUUGUAAGGAGCUAGAGAAUGCAGAAAAGGAUGAAUGAACAAACCUAUCCCAAGACAUGUUCUUGUGACAUUUUAGACACAGAGAAGAGAGGGAAGCUUCUAAAAAACUAAAAGAAUAGAUCACUCAAAAAUAAAUGAGAAUCCAACUGACAUUAGCUAGAUCAUCAGUUCUAGAUGCUAGGAAAAAAUUAAGAAUCAUGUCUGCAAGAUGUUGAGGGGAAAAAAAAUGUUUUUGAACCUCAAAUUCUCUUACCUAGCCAAAUAUCAGUAAAAACUACGGCAUUUUCAAACAUGCAAGAGCUUGGAACAUUUAUCACUUACAGACUAUUUCUGAAAGAAUUACUCAGGUAAAACAGGAAAAUCCAAGUAAGAGGAAAUUACAGACUCCAAGGAACAGUGGAUCUAACCCAGGAUUGUAGUGAAAAGUAAUUUGAGGCUGGCCUAGAUAGCUAUCAGUGCUAAUUAGAAUAAUAAGUCAGAAGCUCUGUGAAGAAUCUCUUUUAGGAGAAUAUGGAUUUCUUCUUCUAACAAAUAGAAUGAUUAAGAGGCUGGAUUAUCUUUUGAAAAAUCAAAGGUGCAUUGAGUCAUUAAGACAUGGUGCCAUCCUAACCCUCUCCAAACUUUAAAGUUCCGUUCUACUUCAAAUAGCAAAGAUUGAUUGAUAAGAGUUACAUCUCCUCUAUGGGCUUAAUGGCAUUACUUGGCUCUGCAGUCCCAUAGAAAUAUUACUGUGAAUACUACCUUUUAGAUGUCAAUGAAAACAAUCAAUUUAUAGACAAUGCAUCAAAAAUUAAUUGUAAUUGCAGAAUAAAUGUAAAAACAAUAGUAUACUGGAAUCAAGGUUUAGAAAGGGGUACAGAGGUAGAGGAAAAUGAAGUGAUGUUGGAUUUCUUCAUCAAACAUUAAGGGAGUUAAGAGGUACUGUAUCUAUGUUUGAGGGGUCAAAUACAGUGUUAAGCAUACUGUUUACAUUUAUUAUAUUGACAUCACACUGACGCAGAAUAGCAUGGCUGUUCUGAGCACAGACCCUGGAGCCAAAACACCUGGGUUUCAGUUCUUCUUCUACACUUCAACUUGGGAAAAUUGUUUGUGUGUGCCUCCCUAUCUACCUACCUAUCUAUCUACCUAACAACCUAUUUUUCAAGUGCUUAUAUUAAUCUGACACAUUAAAAGUGAGUGCUUUUGAUGAUGAUGAUGAUGAUGACAACGAUGGUAAAACAUCAGAAAUGACGAUGUUAAAACAUUGGAAAACAAAAGAACUAAAAAUUAACAUUAAAUCUGCAGAGACUGGAAAGGAGAAGCCAUAGUUUCAAAAAGUUUACUUACUCAUAUUUUUAAAAAGAGAGGUCAAAAGGUAUUUAAAGUUGAUCCGUCUAGAAAUAGAGGCAUAAUCAUAAUCAGAGUUAGGGAGGCAAUCUUCAGAAAAAAAUAAAAAGAGACAGUUAAAAGUAGUUAUUAUUGGUGAGUGGAAGGCUGCAAGAAGGAAGAACGGCUUUUCUUUCUAUCUUGUCCUAGUUGAGGGUUUUUUGGGUUAUUUUUCUUUACCAUACACAGGUAUUAAUUUUACUUAGUUUUUACCAAUAUUACUGAUGUAUACUUGACAUAAAAUAAACUGCACAUAUUUAAAGAAUAUAAUUUGAUAACUUGGGGACUUAUGUGCACACCCUUGAAAUUCUCACUGUAAUCAAGAUAAGGAAAAAAUUCAUCGUGCCCAGGAGUGUGCUCAUGCCCUUGGUGUUCCCCUCUUCCCAUUCCUCCCCACACGAUCUCAGGCAACUGCUGCUCUGCUUUCUGUGAGAAUAACGCAGUUUGCACUUUUUAGUAUUUUAUAUAAAUGAAAUCACACUGUAUAUGCUCAUAUAACUUCUUUCAUUCAGCAUAAUUAUUUUGAGAUUCUUUCACAUUAAAGUGUGUAUCAGCAGUUCAUUCCUUGUCUGGAAAAACCACAAAGAACAAACUCACCAGUUAAUGGAAAUAAGGUUUUUUUUGUUUUUUUGUUUUUUAAGAUUUUAUUUACUUAUUUGACAGAGAGAGAUCACAAGUAGGCAGAGAGGCAGGCAGAGAGAGAGAGAGGAGGAAACAGGCUCCCUGCCAAGCAGAGAGCCCGAUGUGGGACUCGAUCCCAGGACUCUGAGAUCAUGACCUGAGCCGAAGGCAGCGGCUUAACCCACUGAGCCACCCAGGCACCCCUGGAAAUAAGGUUUUUAACCCUAGUUUUUUACUAUGACAAAUAGAGCUGCUAUAAAUAUUCACAUACAAGUCUUUGUAUGGGUGAAGGAUUUCAUUUCUCUUGGAUAGAUACAGAAAUGAGGGAGGGGUGGGUCACAUGGUAGGCAUAUGUUUAAAUUUUUAAGAAACUGCCACACUGUUUUCUAAAGUGUUCAACAUUCCCAGCGGCAGUGAAUGAGUUUCAAUUCCUCCACAUUCUUGUCUUAGCAGAGACAAUCUUUUUUUCAGCCAUUCUAAUAGAGUGGUGGUGAUAUCAUAUUGUGGUUUUAUAUUCCCUGGUGACUAUCAAUAUUGAGCAUCUUCUUGCUUUUUAUUUUUUCCCUAUAUCUUCAUUGGAAAAAUAUUCAAAUGUUUGGCCCUUUAAAAAAUACUGAGUUAUUUUCUUAUUAUUGAGAUUUGAGUGUUCUUUGUAUCUUCUGUAUAUAGAGCCUUUAUCAAAUAUAUGAUUUA